rnacentral:sRNA from 1 species
CCAUGAAGAUGAACGCACACGCCCAUGCAGACAGCGCGGCCUCGCAGGCCUCGAGCAUGACCUCGCGUGCGCGUCGACCGGAAUCCUGCAUCUAGCUGGGUAGCCCGGACGUUUUCGCCUGUUCG